AUUGAACGCUGGCGGCGGGCCUAACACAUGCAAGUCGAGCGGUAGAGAGAAGCUUGCUUCUCUUGAGAGCGGCGGACGGGUGAGUAAUGCCUAGGAAUCUGCCUGGUAGUGGGGGAUAACGUCCGGAAACGGACGCUAAUACCGCAUACGUCCUACGGGAGAAAGCAGGGGACUUCGGGCCUUGCGCUAUCAGAUGAGCCUAGGUCGGAUUAGCUAGUUGGUGGGGUAAUGGCUCACCAAGGCGACGAUCCGUAACUGGUCUGAGAGGAUGAUCAGUCACACUGGAACUGAGACACGGUCCAGACUCCUACGGGAGGCAGCAGUGGGGAAUAUUGGACAAUGGGCGAAAGCCUGAUCCAGCCAUGCCGCGUGUGUGAAGAAGGUCUUCGGAUUGUAAAGCACUUUAAGUUGGGAGGAAGGGCAGUAAAUUAAUACUUUGCUGUUUUGACGUUACCGACAGAAUAAGCACCGGCUAACUCUGUGCCAGCAGCCGCGGUAAUACAGAGGGUGCAAGCGUUAAUCGGAAUUACUGGGCGUAAAGCGCGCGUAGGUGGUUCGUUAAGUUGGAUGUGAAAUCCCCGGGCUCAACCUGGGAACUGCAUUCAAAACUGACGAGCUAGAGUAUGGUAGAGGGUGGUGGAAUUUCCUGUGUAGCGGUGAAAUGCGUAGAUAUAGGAAGGAACACCAGUGGCGAAGGCGACCACCUGGACUGAUACUGACACUGAGGUGCGAAAGCGUGGGGAGCAAACAGGAUUAGAUACCCUGGUAGUCCACGCCGUAAACGAUGUCAACUAGCCGUUGGGAGCCUUGAGCUCUUAGUGGCGCAGCUAACGCAUUAAGUUGACCGCCUGGGGAGUACGGCCGCAAGGUUAAAACUCAAAUGAAUUGACGGGGG
rnacentral:rRNA from 1 species